rnacentral:siRNA from 1 species
GGGCGUGGUCCGGAGCGCGUGA